AAUAAUAUGGUAUCCGUAUCAACAAUUAAUACUAUUAAAUAUAAUCUAGAACUUUUGAAACUUUUAGGCUCCGUUUGGUUCGAAAAUUAGUAGGAACUAGUUAUACCGGAGAUAGGUACAAAUAUGAAUUUUUGUAAAAAUAAGAAUAUUUUUUAGAUUGGAUGAAAAUAUGAGUAUAAGCUGGAACUAGAAAAAUUGCAUUUGGAUGGUUAUUAGGAAUAAGAGGAAUAGUUGGUAGUUAUAAAUAGAAAAUAAUAAUAUUACCCUCAUAAUUGAAUUUAAAUUUUUAAAUUUUAAACUUAUAAUUUUAAAUUGAAAAUUUUAACUUUUAAAUUUUAAAAUUUGAAAUUAAAAAUUAAAAUUAUAAUUUUCAAAAAUUUAAUUUUAAAUAUUAAAUUUUAAAUUUAAGGCCAAAUUUAAAUUUGAAAGAUAUAAAAUAUCAAAUUUAAAAUUUAAAAACUAAAAAUGUCAGAUUUAAAAUUUAAAAUUUAAAAAUAUCAAAUUUAAAAUUUAAACCUUAAAAUUUAUUAUUUUAAAUUAUAAAUUUAAAUUUUGAAAUUAUAAAUUUUAAAUUUUAGCAAUUUAAAUUAUAAUUUAAAAUAAAUCUCUCUCUCUCUCUCUCUCUCUCUCUACCCGAGAGCCCACCCACCCACCCACCCACACAAGUACUCAUACCGGGUAUGGAUGGGAACAACUUGUUUCCAUCCACCCAAAUGGUGUUUGGGUAUAAGAGGGGGGGAUAAUCCCCUUAUCCAUCUCUUAUAUCCAAUCCAAACACACACUAAAGUAAAUAAAUUUUGUAAUAUGUCAAAAUCAUUUAGCUAGCAUAUAUUCAGGUGAUCUCAAAAGUAAUCGUUGCUAACAUAAAUAUAGAUUACAUUUAAAAAUACUUUACAAUUAAUAGAUAUAAAUACUUUUAAAUUUAUAAAUUCAAUAUUUCAUUCCUACGUACAAUUCACUUGACUCUCUUGUUUUUCAUCA
rnacentral:lncRNA from 1 species